rnacentral:rRNA from 1 species
CAGCACCUCAAGUGGUCAGGAUGAUUAUUGGGCCUAAAGCAUCCGUAGCCGGCGCUGUAAGUUUUCGGUUAAAUCUGUACGCUCAACGUACAGGCUGCCGGGAAUACUGCAGAGCUAGGGAGUGGGAGAGGUAGACGGUACUCGGUAGGAAGGGGUAAAAUCCUUUGAUCUAUUGAUGACCACCUGUGGCGAAGGCGGUCUACCAGAACACGUCCGACGGUGAGGGAUGAAAGCUGGGGGAGCAAACCGGAUUAGAGACCCGUGUAGUCC